ACCAACUCCGAGGCCCAGCAAGCACUGCCGGCAGGCCUCGGCCAAGCAGGGGGUGGGGGGCUGGAGGAGACAAUGCCUGGGGAGAGGCCCCAGCAAACCCGGGAAGGGUCAGAUAAACAAGUCAGUGUGGAGAGGGAAGAGAAAGGAGAGUGGAGAGAAAAAUCCUUGAGGAUAAAACAGUUGGAAGGAGCAGAGAUUUGUCUUUCCAUAGGGGGAAAUAGGGAGAAGGAAAGAGUAUAUUAAGAAGAGAGAAUGGGAAGAAUUUUCCAGGGUCCAAAGCCACUUGGAUCAGAAGAGGUGGAGCUGGGACUAGAAAGCAAGCCCUGUUCUCCCUGCUCCUGGCACACCCUGUGACCCAGAGCAUCCACUCAGACUGCAAUUGUUUUAGAGUGAACCAAGGACCCUUGAUUUAUCAUUUUGACUCCAUGAAUUUCAUAUAAUAUUCACCACCUCUGCAAGAAGAUCAAUCUUUCUUCCUCCUUCUUUGCUGGAAGCCACCCUGGAGUCCAACUCUCACAGUGAAGGAGGCUGGGAAAUACAGCCCAGCUGUGGGCAUAGGAAGAAGAUGGGGCUAAGAAAGCACACGGCAGGCUCUGCCACACCUGUCUUUCAAGGCAACUGAGGAAAAAGGCUGCCUGUGUGCCCUGGAGCCAUGCUGAGCUGGUGGCACUGUGGGGGCGCAGUGCCGAGCAGCAGGCGCUGACCAUGGCAUCGUGUCUCCUGGUAUCCCAGCUGGAACGCUGACUUGGUGAAAUACAUACAUAUUUUAUCAAAAACUUCAUUUUCUCUUUAUAUUUCAGA